rnacentral:lncRNA from 1 species
AUGGCGGGGAGCGCGCAGGCGGGGAGCGCGCAGGCGGGGAGCGCGGGGCAGCCUGGCUGGAGCUCCCCCAGGAGCCGGAGCACGAGGACCGCGCGCCCCCACGGAGCCCUGACUCGACCGAGGAUGGGCGAGCGGUGCCGGGCAGAAGGGGCCAGGGACGGCACAAGGCGCCUGGCACAGACGCAAGACAGCGCUUUCCCUACCCAAACCAAACCGCAAACCCAGGAGCUCAACAACUGACAACCUUUCCCACGGUCGUGGAUAACCUUGGCUGUGUCCAAUGCCUGGAAGAUUUCCGUGUGGCCUGCAUCAGAGUGAGAAACAAUUCCAUCAUGACGAUUUCUUGAGGUAAGAGUGACAACAGCAUUUUCUUUUCAAGAAAGGCAGCAGCGCUUAUGUGUAGUAUGGCCUAUUGUUGAAAAGACUCAUCAUGUGAUGUGACUUGACAAGUGGCCAGUAUCAAAACUGGUUGUUUUUUUUCGCCUAAGAAACACAAAAUGCCCAUCUGGCUCUGAUCCAAAAUGGCUUGGCACACUUCAUUCCAGUGAUUUUUGGGAGAAAAAAUUUAAUUCUGUUUGGGCAAUUGCUUGCUGGUGGUGUUCUUAUCACAGGAGGAAAGGUACUGGUGAGAUUCGGGACAUCUUAAGGCCGGGGGACUCAGGGAUGGGCACAAAAUUGAUGGGUUGUGCAGCCGCCUGGUUAUCACAGAGACUUUGAUCUGGAAGACACCCCGGGCUGAGAUCCUGGCUGUGCCACUUAAUCCGCUCUGAGCCUCCGUGAUCUUGUUUAUAGAGCCUGGAUAAUUAUAAGCUCUUUCGUGGAGGUGGUUCAUGUGAAGACUAGUGAAAUGAGUAUAAAUUGCUAAUUGUUAUUAUGGGGUGUUAGCUCAGUUGCUCAAUGGUAUUUUGUGGGUCUCUCUCUCGUCUCUCUUCCUCUUGCACUAAUAUCUGUUCUGUUCAUUUGAAAUUUACAACGUUUCCCUGGUAUGAUUUCUUACCUACAUUAUAAGUGCUUGCUCUAUUAUUAACUUUUCCUUUCUCACAUCCUUUGGGGAAUAUGGAAUAUAAAUAAAAUUUUAAUUUUUGUUUGUUAAUACCUAAAU